UGGCUCAGUGGUUAAGAGCACUGACUUCUCUUCCAGAGGUCCUGGGUUCAAUUCCCAG
rnacentral:tRNA from 1 species